rnacentral:rRNA from 1 species
ACAUGCUUACAACAUAGUGUUAAUGCAUUGAAUCCCACUAUAACUCCACAAUUAAGCAUGCUCAGGAUAGAGUAGUACUAGGAUGGGUGUUCACCCGAGAAGUCUUAGUAUUUUACAUGCC